rnacentral:rRNA from 1 species
AUGCACGCUGGCGGCGUGCCUAAUCCAUGCAAGUCGCGCGCACAGACGAGGAGCUUGCUCCUCUGACGUUAGCGGCGGACGGGUGAGUAACACGUGGAUAACCUACCUAUAAGACUGGGAUAACUUCGGGAAACCGGAGCUAAUACCGGAUAAUAUAUUGAACCGCAUGGUUCAAUAGUGAAAGACGGUUUUGCUGUCACUUAUAGAUGGAUCCGCGCCGCAUUAGCUAGUUGGUAAGGUAACGGCUUACCAAGGCAACGAUGCGUAGCCGACCUGAGAGGGUGAUCGGCCACACUGGAACUGAGACACGGUCCAGACUCCUACGGGAGGCAGCAGUAGGGAAUCUUCCGCAAUGGGCGAAAGCCUGACGGAGCAACGCCGCGUGAGUGAUGAAGGUCUUCGGAUCGUAAAACUCUGUUAUUAGGGAAGAACAAAUGUGUAAGUAACUAUGCACGUCUUGACGGUACCUAAUCAGAAAGCCACGGCUAACUACGUG